CGCGACCCCAGGUCAGACGGGACUACCCGCUGAGUUUAAGCAUAUCAAUAAGCGGUGGAGAA
rnacentral:rRNA from 1 species